CUUAACUGAUAAACAUGGUGAUGAAGGGAAAUUAAGUUUAGCAUAUGCUGCAGAAGCACAAAAGCUUCCAAAUGUGAGAUAUGUGUCAUUUGACUUUCAUCAUAUUUGUGGCAACUCAAACUUUGAUAACCUACAGAUUCUGUAUGAUCAAAUCUCAGAGGAAUUCCAAAAACAAGGAUACUUCAUCAUAGACGCGGAAGAAAAAAUAUUAGAGGAGCAGAAAGGGAUAAUUAGAUCUAAUUGCAUUGAUUGCCUUGAUCGAACAAAUGUUACCCAGAGUUAUCUAGCUCAGAAGUCUUUGACUGCACAAAUGCAAAGAAUAGGAGUACUUGCUUCUAAUGAGUGCAUUUCUAUGUUCAGUGAGGAUUAUGGAAAGUUCAGAAGAUUGUGGGCCGAGCAAGGUGAUGAGAUAAGCCUUGAAUACACUGGAACUUAUGCCCUGAAAGGAGACCUGGUUAGAUAUGGAAGACAGACUUUACGCGGAAUAAUCAAAGAUGGUAUGAGUGCUCUUUCAAGAUAUUAUUUGAAUAAUUUUCAAGAUGGAGUUCGACAGGACGCAUUGGAUCUUAUAAGUGGCCACUAUACUGUGAACAGAAAUGGUCCAUCACCAUUCCAGCUUAAUGGAUUCGAAUCGCUCUCUUAUCUCCCAGUGGCAUCGGCUUUGGUUAUCGGAGGUUUGACACUUACUUCCUUCACCCUUCAACAAGCGGGGCGAAAUGUACAAUGUUAUUUGUCUACUGUGC
rnacentral:misc_RNA from 1 species